AUACAAUAACUGAUAGAAUGUUUGUUUAUUUAUUUAUUUAUUUAUUUACGUACUAAGCAAAAAAAUGUUAGUCACUAAACACAUUUAGUCAUAUGCAGGAGGGCCUAUUCAAGCUAGAUAUUUAAUGACAGUCGAUAACAGGAAGUUAUUUUCAGUCUGUCCUGUAGAAAGUGUGCAGUUCUUCUUCCGCUCCGCUAGAGGCGCAAGAGACCUCACGUUCAGCACGAGACUCACCUUUUGCUCUGUAAACAACACGACGCUUGACCACAGUCAAAACAAAGCUUUCUGACCGUUUUGAAGAUAUAAAAGUAAAUUUCCUGCAGGUGACAGUCAGUGAGAGCCUUUAAAUGUCAUUUAUCAGCACACAUUUCAGCCCUUCAGGCAAAAACACGCGACUAUCCCCGGAUGAAGUGCAGGAAUGCUGGACACUCCAUCACCUAUGAGCUUGUGAUUCAUUGAACACAGCUGGCAGAUCCUUUAUGGUUCAUCAGUCCUCAUGUCAGUCUGAUCAACUGCUUCUGAGCUGGACCUGAGAGAGACAUCUAGUGCUCAGUGCUGAAAUUACAGCUCAUUCACAAACAAAUGAGUGGAAUAUUGUCCCAGGUAAGGUAAAAAACACAAUCAUCAUGACAAUUGUAAAUAAACUUUUUAUUAAGAAUA